ensembl:lncRNA
UUCGAAGACAGUACAAAAUAAACAAAGUAAAAUAUCUCAGUAAUAUUUUAAAAAAUUGAUUACAUGCUGAACUGAUAAUAUUUUGGAUAAAUUGAGUUAAAUAAAAAUAAAUUAUUAAAUUAAUUUGAUCUACUUCUUUAAAAAUUUUUUAAUGUGGCUACUAGAAAAUUUAAAAUUUUAUAUGUGGCACACACUGUAUUUCUCUUGGACGGCACUGCCAGACCGUGUUGUAACUGUCCCCUUGUGCUUCUUACCACAGUUGUCUGCCCACAGUAAGCACUCUGCAUGUUCUGACUCAUCCAUGAUUUAUGCAAGCAUGGUUAGAAGCCAAAAAAGAGGAAAAAUGAUAACAUAAAUUGCCAAGUGAGUCCUUUUGGCAUGAGUCAAAUACAGCUUAAAAAACUCAGAAGACAGACUAUAAAUUUUUAUUUAUACAAUUUCACAGGCAAUUUCCAAGGCUCAGGCCCCAUCACGCCUCCUUCCCUGUCCCCUAAUCUUCCCCUCCUUUCACUAACUAACAUGCUAGGAGCAUUUAGUUUAGGCCAGGGACUGUUCAAGGCCUUAAAAAUUACAGUGAUGAAUAAGACCCAGUUACCAGAGAGUCCGCCCCUUAGUAGAGAAAAUUGACCUAUGUUAGUUUGCUAAGGCUGCAGUAACAGGGUACCACAGUGUUGCUUAAACAACAGAAUUUUUUUCUCACUGUUCUAGAGGCUAGAAAUCUGAGAUCAGGGUGUAGGCAGUGUUGGUUUCUUCUGAGACCUUUUUCCUUGGCUUGUAGAUGGUUGUCUUCUCCUUGUGUCUUCACAUUGUCCUCCCUCUGUGUGUGUCUGUGUCCAAAUUUCUUUUUCUUCUUAAGGAAGCCAGUCAUAUUGGAAUAGGGACAAUCCUAAUGACCUCAUUUUAACUGAAUCAUCUCUGUGAAGACUGUCUCUGAAGACGGUCACAGUCUGAGGUGUUGGAAUUAGGAGCUCAACAUAUGAGUUUUUGAGGGAUACUCUUCAGUCCAUAAUGUAGUCUAUGGAGCAAGUGCUAUGGCCACAUGGAAGAUGGAGUAUCUGAUGCUUUGUGGCUGCAUGUUGAGGGUGAUCAGGGAAGACCUUACAUACAUGAGGUGGGGAUUGGUGGGCUCUUGGAGAUGAGCUUUUCCUUUCCUUUAGUUCAAUAAGCAGCCAGCUGUUCUCAGUACAGGUAGAACUAAAUGCAGAUAUUGAGGGACCUGCUACAUUUGAAGGUGUUCUGAGGUAAAGGUGUAGCAAGACCCUCGUGUUUUUGAGUGGCUUAGCAGAAGCUGCCUUACCCCUUGGUAUGCAGAGUUGAUAGUCAAGGAGGUGAUGAUCAACUUGUGAAGGGAGCCCAGAGUAGACAGGAAACUGGUGGUAGAGGCAGGAAUGGAUAACAGCCCCGUAAAAUCAAAUUACUUUCAAGAAAUUUGUUUACACUGGUGAUGAGGUUUCAACCUAAAGGGCCAAGUGUUUUUUGUUGGAGUCCUGGUUUAGCCCAGGGUGUCUUUGAAGUUGGAAGACUUUCUGGACCCACCACCUUUUGAGGAUUUGAACUUUGGGAGCCAUGGAUGGUUGUAGGGAUGUGGACCUAAAGAAGGUGCCCUGGAGGCCAAGUGCAGGGCCUAUGAAGGGGCUUGGACCAGCUGAAGCAUUGCAGCAGAGUGGACAAGUGUCCCUGGGGCUGUGUACAGGGGACAAAUGACUGAGAUGUGUACAGAGAGGAUAAGUGCCCAAGGUUUCCAAGACAAGACAAUGCGGCAAGGAGAGGCAACAGUAGAGGUGGAGAUAGGACUCCAAUGAUCUCUACAGGUCUUUGGCAGUGGACUGUUCCUUCUGGGAGGAAGUAAGCCCCUUGAUUUGUUAGAAGAGGUUUAAGGGGUGUGGGAAAGUCCCAAGAGAAAGAUGAGUGCUUAAAUAAUUAACUGGAAAAAGAAAAAAGAUGUGACUGUCCUUGUACCUUGAGUUGAUGGAGGCCAUUCCAUGGGUUACAGAGUGGGAACAUAUGACUUGGAGUUGGAAGAACGAGUUGGAGAUUUGUAGGAAGGCGAAGUUAAAGGGUGACAUUCGUGGCAGACAAAAGAGCAACUGCAAAGACCUAAAAGAAUCUGGUCUGUUAGAGAAGUGACUGUUGGUGCCGGCUGUAGGGUUUAUGUGGGAGAAAGAGAAAGGGAUAAAGCUGGAAAGGAUUUCCAGAUCCUGCUGGAGCUAAUAGAGUUGGUUCACAAGCAUAUUUGUCAGAAACAAGAACCUCUCAAAUCAAGAUCUUUCUCUGUACCCACAGGACAAAAGAGAAACUUUGAAGAUAUAAUCAGAGGACCUUGAAAGAACAGCUACCUGUAUUUAAUUAUUGGGGGACAAUAAUGGAAAAAAAAAAAAAGCUGAGAAACACUGCUGUAGUGCCUACAUCUUCUCUGUGGCUUUGGAAACUGCCCAUGAUAAGCAGAUGUGUAUCUUUUUGUUAUGUCCCUCAGAUGAAACCAACACCUUAAAAAUAUUUCCCAUUAUGGCUCUUCUUAAGAUGAAUUCGUGGGAAAAGAAUUGGAAAAGGACCUUCUACAGAUUCUGGGGACGGACAGCUGAAUGCUUCGCCAGCCCUGCGCCUCCACAUACCCCCUUGCCCUAAAUCCCCGCCUCCUUUCCCCCAAUACUCCGUCUAUCCCGUGUGGCGGCUUUCCUCAAAUGGCCAGUAAGGGCCAGGCCUUGUAAAACUUCAAAAGUCCUAAUUUGGGCCAACUGUAAAUUUUUUAUGUUUUUUUCUCCCUUGGAAAUAUUCAUAUGGUUACUUCCAGUCAAGACACAGUUUCUGGAGGCAGCUUGCAUGGCUGACAGGGAGUUACCUGCCCUUGACAUUGGAAAAAAUGUGCCGAUACCUCCAGUAACCCCUGGGGGCCCAUCAUGACCUCUAUUCAUGUACUUAUUCGCUACUGGGGUACCCGCACCCAAGGAUAUCUAAGUCUAGACUCACCUGGACAAUCUCAUUUGAGUCCCUUAUCAAGAAAGUGAGGCUACUGGUAUCAUCUCCUCUUAUUUAUAAACAACAAAAAAGUUGGCUAAGAUAGAUCUAGUGACUGAACUGAGAUUACACAGCUAAUAAGUAGUAAGGUCAGGACAGCCCCCUCCCCAACCACACACUCUGGAAUGUUAGUUCUUUGAGGGCAGGAACUGUGCUUGUUGCUCACCACCAUGUCUUCAGCGUGACCACGAGGCCUGGCACAUAGCAGGAGUUCAGUC